rnacentral:rRNA from 1 species
AACCUGCCCAAUGUUAAAUUUAUCAAUGGCCGCGGUACUUUGACCGUGCUAAGGUAGCGCAAUAAAUUGGCUUUUAAUUGAAGCCAUGUAUGAAUGGAAUCACGGGGUUUAGCUGUCUCAUAUCUGAUUUAUCAAAAUUACUAUUUAGGUGAAAAAGCCUAAAGAAAGAAAAAAGACGAGAAGACCCUUAGAGUUUUACUAAAACUAGAAAUACAAAUCUAAAACAGUUUAGUUGGGGCAACAUAGGAACAUUUGAAUAAACCUCCUAUAAAUAACUUACCGAUAAUUAUAAAAAUGAACAAACUACCUUAGGGAUAACAGCAUAAUUUUAUAAAUAAGUUUGUGACCUCGAUGUUGGACUAGGAAACUAUAAGGCUAGCAGCCUUCUAGGUAAGUUCUGUUCGAACUAUUAUUCCU